AGAGAGGUAUGCGUGUUGUGUGUGUGUGUGAGAGAGAGAGACAGAGACAGAGAUAGAGAGACAGAGAGAACAGGGGCAGAAAUGCCCAACUGGAGAGGUGGUGAGGACAUGGACUGUCCCCUAAACCCCUGCCAGCCCUUGUCACAACUAAGCCCCCACUGAUUAUAUUCUGUUCUUUGGUGUAUAAUUUGCAUUUUGUGUAUUAUGUGCAUAGAUGACUAUAAGUUCCCUUCCCUUAAUGGGCAAUGUGCAUCACAUCCGGGUGCCCCAGAGGAUGUUUUUUCUCUAUAUCCAGGGUCCGGGGUCCCCAUGCCUCCUUGAGGACUGGGACUUGAGUUCCUGCCCCACUGUCUUCAGACCUGCCGCAAGCAUGGAAUUAGAUGGCCCCAUCUGGGCUCUGAGGUGUGUUCAUUUCAAUGAAGACGAAACCCAGGUGACCUGUGUCUCAAGCUUUGGCUCCCAGGCCACAGGACUCCUCCCCGCCAUCAGCCCUAAGGAGCAGGCAUGCAGGCUCAAAAUCAUUUCCCUACCAGCUUCAAAGCCUGGACUUCUGCUGCUCGUGCCCAAUCCUUGAACCGAAAACCCUUGUGUCCAGAUGACUCUUUUUUUCUGAUUUUCAGAGUUUAGAAAAGAAAUGUAGUGCAGGUAAAGUAUAAGGAAAACCACAGUGGGGUAUGAGGUGGCCCCUGGAAUUAUGGACGCAGACACAUCAACAUUUAUUUCUACAGCAAAACUUAGGAAUAGUCACACUGAAUUGGAGAUGUAAAAAUUAUAAAUAGCCCAUGUCAGGUUUUACAUGCAAGUGAGUUACAAAGAACUUUUGGUCUCCAGAGCUUCUGGAAUUUGGAAUUGUUGGGGUAGGAGUUGAACAAUAAGAUACUGCCUUUGAAGGGUGAUUGUGUGACUUGGUGGGAGUGUGAGUAAGUUGGAAGACUUGCUGAGAAGGGCUGGAUGGGAUGACAGAAGCCUGGAAGUGGGGGCACAUGACAGAGCUCCAGGGGACCCCAGGAAGGCUUUGAUUAGACCAGGGUUGUGACCAUCCAGAUACCCUUUGCCCUGCCAACAGAAGGAUUUGAUAGGUCUGAGGAGCAGAGUGUGGCUGGGCCCGGCGCCAGAUAGGGCUCAAGGCAACAUCACGGUGGGCAGCAGGCCUUUGAGACCUGGGCUGGGCAGAGCCAUGUUCUGCAGGUAAGAGGUGACUUCCUUAUUUAGGCCUGGGGCCUUGGGGCAGCCCUGGGAGUGUUGCAAUCCUGGAGAGUAGCUGCAGGGACAAGACCCUUUUGUCCUGAACUUUUGGCUCAGCUCGGUUCCCUGUGUGCCUAUGUUACUCCUGCCAGCUCAAGGUUAUCUCCCUGGUGAUGUACUGCGUGAGGCUUGGCAUUCGCCCGCACAUGCGCACUUGCUACUGCUACAGCCAAGAGCAGACUCAGAUUUUCUGGAACCCUAGGAACAUGUGUUUAUUGAGUGCCUUCUAUGUGCUAGGCGAGCAGUUGAGCCUCCGGGGCUACAUUCUCUUUAUUCUCUCAUCUGGAAUGCACGCCUCUCCCACGGCACAAAUCCUAGCAUCCCUGAGUUCUACUUCUGCCAUGAGUCAUGAUCACCAUCCUUUCUUAGAACGCCUAGCAUUUACUGCCCUGCCAUUCCUUGGCUCUGAAUUCACCUCCUGAGCUUUCUCGUAUCCUUGUCUUCCGUUUUGUUACUUGAAUUUUUAUUUGAAUGCUUGGUGUUCUGAAUCAUUUAGGGAUUAAGACCAAGGGUCUGCACCUAGGUCCAAGCUAUCCCCAAAGUGGGCACCUGCCCCUCCUUCCCUGAACACGUGUGGAAUGCAAGAGUGACCCCAGGGGAGGACUAUAAAAGCCCUUCAAAGAAGAGGGGGAAAAUGGUGCCGUGGGCCCAUAAACAUUUGCACUAAGCAUUCCUAAAUGACAGCAAGAUUUACAGUUUUAGCACUUUCCCAUUACAGAGGCCAUUUCAGUGACUGAAGGGGACUGUAAUUUCUGUAUCAGGGAAAAUUGGAAGCAGCCACCCGCAAUAGCCAUUGCACUGGGUUCAUUCCACAUGCUUGUAUAUUCAUUCAAUAGCUUUUGUAGCCGAUAAGAUUUUCCUCUGGCUAGAAUGAUUUAGGCCUGCUGGAAA